GACGAACGCUGGCGGCGUGCCUAAUACAUGCAAGUAGAACGCACAGUUUAUACCGUAGCUUGCUACACCAUAAACUGUGAGUUGCGAACGGGUGAGUAGCGCGUAGGUAACCUGCCUGGUAGCGGGGGAUAACUAUUGGAAACGAUAGCUAAUACCGCAUAAUAUUAAUUAUUGCAUGAUAAUUGAUUGAAAGAUGCAAUUGCAUCACUACCAGAUGGACCUGCGUUGUAUUAGCUAGUAGGUGAGGUAACGGCUCACCUAGGCGACGAUACAUAGCCGACCUGAGAGGGUGAUCGGCCACACUGGGACUGAGACACGGCCCAGACUCCUACGGGAGGCAGCAGUAGGGAAUCUUCGGCAAUGGACGAAAGUCUGACCGAGCAACGCCGCGUGAGUGAAGAAGGUUUUCGGAUCGUAAAGCUCUGUUGUAAGAGAAGAACGGGUGUGAGAGUGGAAAGUUCACACUGUGACGGUAUCUUACCAGAAAGGGACGGCUAACUACGUG
rnacentral:rRNA from 1 species